rnacentral:rRNA from 1 species
GUGGACGUUACUCGCAGAAUAAGCACCGGCUAACUCUGUGCCAGCAGCCGCGGUAAUACAGAGGGUGCGAGCGUUAAUCGGAUUUACUGGGCGUAAAGCGUGCGUAGGCGGCUUAUUAAGUCGGAUGUGAAAUCCCCGAGCUUAACUUGGGAAUUGCAUUCGAUACUGGUGAGCUAGAGUAUGGGAGAGGAUGGUAGAAUUCCAGGUGUAGCGGUGAAAUGCGUAGAGAUCUGGAGGAAUACCGAUGGCGAAGGCAGCCAUCUGGCCUAAUACUGACGCUGAGGUACGAAAGCAUGGGGAGCAAACAGGAUUAGAUACCCUGGUAGUCCAUGCCGUAAACGAUGUCUACUAGCCGUUGGGGCCUUUGAGGCUUUAGUGGCGCAGCUAACGCGAUAAGUAGACCGCCUGGGGAGUACGGUCGCAAGACUAAAACUCAAAUGAAUUGACGGGGGCCCGCACCAGCGGUGGAGCAUGUGGUUUAAUUCGAUGCAACGCGAAGAACCUUACCUGGCCUUGACAUACUAGAAACUUUCCAGAGAUGGAUUGGUGCCUUCGGGAAUCUAGAUACAGGUGCUGCAUGGCUGUCGUCAGCUCGUGUCGUGAGAUGUUGGGUUAAGUCCCGCAACGAGCGCAACCCUUUUCCUUACUUGCCAGCAUUUCGGAUGGGAACUUUAAGGAUACUGCCAGUGACAAACUGGAGGAAGGCGGGGACGACGUCAAGUCAUCAUGGCCCUUACGGCCAGGGCUACACACGUGCUACAAUGGUCGGUACAAAGG